GUUUUGUUACCACUUGUGCAAUAUCUGCUCUCGAAAGAAGUGCUGUCACAGAAAAUUAGUGGGAUGGUUUUAAUGCAAGGUUUUAUUAAAUCAAGCAUAUGCAGGACCAGACUGGGAAAACGUGUCUCUGCCAACUUUCACAGAUUUCUAGAUUCAUCAAAUUUAUGACCGAGGAGGGACAUUAAAUCAUCCCGUCUCAUCUCCUCAGUACAGCCCUUCAUUUCCAUCCUUUUACCUGUGUGCUGCAUCUUGCCAUGUGAAUUCGGUGGGAGCACGUCUUCCAGGGAAGCAUCCCAUCUUGAAGAAAUCAGGCGGCGGAGAAUCCGCUGCUUCCCUCAGCAGUUCGUCCGGGUAAUCGCCCUCACUGUUUAUUUCCACUUGUAAUUUGUCUGACUCUCAGCUAUUAAUUCUUGUUCUGCCUUUCACCACCAGGUUAAAGAGCCCUUCAGGACCCAGAUUUUCCUCCUUGUGAAGAGGCUUAGGCAACGUAAUCAGAACGGCUUGCGGUCUUCUUUUUUGAUAAGCUAAGCGAAAAUUAGUGAGCUGAUGAAGCCUCUUGCUGCAAGGUAUUUGGCUUCAGCCUCUGAAUCACUUCUCUGUGUGCUUUCCUCACAAUCUUUUAUUUAUGCAUCAUCCUUUUAGAAACAUGGGACACAAAAACUGCCCAAAUUUCCCUUAUCUGCCCCAUCCAUGCAGACCUCUCCACGGAGAACUCAUUUCAUGCAUGGGUCACUCUGGGUUUCCUUUUUUGCCCCAUUUCCCUCUCAACUUCAUGGUCGGGCUCACCAUUGGGUAACUCUGUCCCUUUGUCCUCAGAUCCCUGCUGGAUCACCCAUUUUGGGGACAAAAAAUGGAUUUUUUUGGUGCUGCAGAGCUUCCCCACUGGCUGGUGCAAACCAUCUCAGCUGCUGGGAGCUGCCUGGAGGCGAGAGGGGUGAUGAUGCACUGGGGACAUGUCCUGUGCCUCUGCAUGGACAUGUAGAGGGUCUCCUUUGGCUGCUUUGAUGGAGCAGAGCACGUUAUGCCUCUGGAGAAGGGAUUUGGCUGUCUGCAGCCUCUCCACCUGCUUUGCCUUGCACAGCCACCCCACUCCAAAACCUUUGUGCAGUGAGGAUUGCUUGAGGUUUACAACCAGUUGACCUCCACACAGGAAGGGCUGAGGAUGGCAGGGUGUGAGGUUCUCCCUGUACAUCCCUAAACUUUCUCUGCCAGAGUUAAAGUUCUUUUUUUUUUUUUCCCCACUUUUUUAUUUAUUUUAUUUUUUUUUCAAAUUUCUGCUGCAUUCAGCAGCAGACAGCACGUGCUGGUAUGCACUAAGGUAGAGAAUAAAAGAGAAUUUCAAGAAUAAAACA
rnacentral:lncRNA from 1 species